AUGGCGGAUGUAAGUCAUGAGUCAAUGAUGGAGUACUAUCAUAUUGCCAACAAGAUGUUUAAUAGUGAGGAUGAAGGUUAUGCAUUCUAUAACAAAUAUGGUCUUGAGAAAGGUUUUAGUGUCCGGAGAAGCUAUGUCGAGUGGGAUGGAUCCAACUGCCAUAUAAUUUUAAGAAAAUUUGUGUGUAGUCGUGAAGGGGUUUGUGAAGAGAAGCACAUGAAGAGGAAGAUGGAAGAUAGAAAGAGGAGGCCACGGAGUAUAACUCGUGUAGGGUGUAAAGCUAAAUUGGUGAUUGCAAGACAGGAGGAAACAGGUCAGUGGUUUGUCAAGGAUUUCAUCGAUGAACACGACCAUCCUCUAGCCCCACGGGAUCUGUCGUGUCUUUUGCGUUCACACAGAAGAAUUAGCGAUGAGCAGAAAGCUGACAUUGCAGACAUGGAAAAAUCUGGGAUCAGAAAACACCAUAUUAUGGAUAUUAUGUGCAUGCAAUACGGUGGAUAUGAUGAGGUUGGAUGCAUUAUGAUGGACAUUUACAAUUUCUGCCAUGCUAACAAACAAGAAACAAUUUCUUCCGGGGAUGCUCAAACGGUGAUCAAUCACAUGGUCGUGAGGCAAGAGCAAGAUUCAUAUUUUUUUCUUCAGGUACUUGGUUGA
rnacentral:rRNA from 1 species